UACGGGGGGAGCAAGCGUUGUUCGGAUUUACUGGGCGUAAAGGGCGCGUAGGCGGUCGUGACAAGUCACUUGUGAAAUCUCCGGGCUUAACUCGGAACGGUCAAGUGAUACUGUCGGACUAGAGUACAGAAGGGGCAACUGGAAUUCUCGGUGUAGCGGUGAAAUGCGUAGAUAUCGAGAGGAACACCGGUGGCGAAGGCGGGUCUCUGGGCAAUUCCUGACGCUGAGGCGCGAAAGCGUGGGGAGCAAACGGGG
rnacentral:rRNA from 1 species